GGGCGUGUGGCCUAGUGGACAGGGCGGACGGUUCCUAACCUUCAGAUCGCGGGUUCGAAUCCCGCCACGCCCG
rnacentral:tRNA from 1 species